GGCCGGAUUGGUACAAGGCAGUCUGGGAGAUUCAUACUGAAAUUGGGAAACAGAAACAGAAUCCAGUGGAAAGGAUGCAGCAGAAUGACCUCAAGCGUUCGUCAAAGGAAAAAGGGAAGAUCAGCUGAUCACGAUCGCAAGACGCUGGUGAAAUCGAGAGAAGGCAAUGAUGCGCGUGAAGAACAGAGAAACCAAUAGCGAUUGAGGCAACCGUCGAGUGCAAGAAGAAGUAGCAAUGGGAUAGAACUACUUCGGCGGCGCUGGAUCAACAUUUCUUGCACUCAUGUGGCCGGAGGUGGAAGAGGAUCGGCUGCCGGCGAUGGAUCGGCUCUCCCCCGGUCAUCUGGUACCCUUCCCAGCCUUGCUAUCCUAUGGCCGACUAUGCGAUGGCAACGGAAAUCUGGAGCUAGGGCACGACCGAAUAGGGGCUUGGGUGCUCGCUGAGAUUAGCAGAUACGGAGACUCAGCCGAUGGUGGUCGAACGACGACGACGUCAGGGAGGCGACGAUCGGGAUCUGAGGAGAGGGCGGUGACAAAUCGUGAAGAAGAGAGGGAUCGAGAGAAAUCGCGGAGGAGAUGAUCGAGGAAGAGGAAGGCUUCAGCGUGGCAAAGUUUAGGGCACGGGUAAGGAAGAGGAAGAAAGAAAAAUAAAAGGAGGCAGGACCGAUGGGACAAGAGGCUUUGACAAUCAAGCAAGCUCAGAAUGACGACAGCACAACCCAUGGACCCCCCUAGUUUAUGUUUCCACUUUUAAUUGAAAUGAUGUAAUAAAAGAUUUAGUCCAAGAAAUUUUCUUUAAGAACUAUUAGUUGUUUAUAACUUGGUCGGUCUUGUUGGGAUAUUAAUGUAUAUUUUAUUAUUAGAAAAUAAAUAAAAAAGUGAUAUAUACUAAAGAGGAAA